CCCCACUGCUGCGCUAACUCCAAGGCUCAUCUGCUUCCUUCUCUGGAGAGUUUUAAAUAGACAGGGAUGUGUUAAUGACACAGUGCAUUAUCUGUCUGCUACCAUUUUGGCAGGCGCCGCUGUGGAGACGUGAGUUUCUUAAGGAGGAGUUAAUCGGCAUGAAAGCAGCAGAGUGGCUGCUUCUGUGUCACAGACAUGAAACAUCAGUGCCCAGAUGGCUUGGGAAGGCUGGGGGGUCCCAGAACGCAAGGAGCCUGGUGCCGUUUGAGUAGUGAUUGUGGGAUCAGAGGUGGAUAAGACUCAUCUGAGACCUCGUUGGAGCUCACAGUACAUUCAGUCAAUAAGACUUUGAGGCCAGGCUCAGCUCUGCAUCCUCCAUCCCAGAUUAAUAUAAGAAUCAUAAAUGAUGCAUACAUCAAGUUCUUAGCUUGAGUGUGUUUGGCAUGUCCUUGAAAACGAGAUGGCAUGUAGGGUUUCCAUUUCCACCAAACAAAUAUUUACCGAGCACUUCACACACACUGAGAAGUACUGAAGAUGCAAAGUUGAGUGCGAUGUGCUCCCUGGAUUCCAUUUUCGCACGGGAAUUAGGAACCUGGCACCGGCUCCUCAAAGGCCUGAGUCAGAAGCUAAUCAGAGGGAAUCUCCAUUUGUUCUGGCUCCACCUCUGCCAUGCAAG